rnacentral:tRNA from 56 species
GCGGGUGUAGUUUAAUGGUAAAACCUCAGCCUUCCAAGCUGAUGACGAGAGUUCGAUUCUCUUCACCCGCUCCA